rnacentral:rRNA from 1 species
GAUUGUAGUCUGCAACUCGACUACAUGAAGCUGGAAUCGCUAGUAAUCGCGAAUCAGAAUGUCGCGGUGAAUACGUUCCCGGGUCUUGUACACACCGCCCGUCACACCAUGGGAGUCAGUAACGCCCGAAGUCAGUGACCCAACCAAUCAGGAGGGAGCUGCCGAAGGUGGGACCGAUAACUGGGGUGAAGUCGUAACAAGGUACC